AAAACUCAAUCGCUUCUUCAACAAUGUAUCUUUCAACCAUACAACCUUCUGGUCGACUUCGGUUCUUCACUUACCCUUUUAAUAUUUUCAUAUAAUGUUCAACAGGGUACAUCCAUCUCAUAUAAGCUGGUCCACACAAUUGUAUCUCUUUCACAAGAUGAACAACUAGAUGUACCAUUAUGUCAAAAAAUGAUGGAGGAAAAAAC
rnacentral:lncRNA from 1 species